rnacentral:rRNA from 1 species
CUGUGACUCCUACGGGAGGCAGCAGUGGGGAAUAUUGCACAAUGGGCGCAAGCCUGAUGCAGCCAUGCCGCGUGUAUGAAGAAGGCCUUCGGGUUGUAAAGUACUUUCAGCAGUGAGGAAGGCAGGUACGUUAAUAGCGUGCUUGUUUGACGUUAGCUGCAGAAGAAGCACCGGCUAACUCCGUGCCAGCAGCCGCGGUAAUACGGAGGGUGCGAGCGUUAAUCGGAAUUACUGGGACGUAAAGCGCAUGCAGGUGGUUUGUUAAGUCAGAUGUGAAAGCCCCGGGGCUCAACCUCGGAAUUGCAUUUGAAACUGGCAGACUAGAGUACUGUAGAGGGGGUAGAAUUUCAGGUGUAGCGGUGAAAUGCGUAGAGAUCUGAAGGAAUACCGGUGGCGAAGGCGGCCCCCUGGACAGAUACUGACACUCAGAUGCGAAAGCGUGGGGAGCAAACAGGAUUAGAUACCCUGGUAG